CCCCCCUCUUUCUAGAAUUUCCUAAUAAGUUAAAAAGAAAUUUCCAGUUCCGGCAAAAUGUCAUGCAAGUAAUUGUGACACAAGCGUUGCUAGGAUUCCUUUACCCCUAUUCAUUUGCAAGGGGUGUCUUCUAAUAUUGCUCAGAGGAGAUGACAUCUCAAUAGGAAAUAAAAAAGUCACUGGUGUUCUUACUCUCCAUCACCUGUUUCCUGGUUAGUAUACACAGUGUGAUCGUAUAAAGCAAACACAAACACACACACACACACACACACACACACCCGUAUAGUAUAUGAAUACAUUUGAGAGAUAUAUAUCUUUGUUGUAAACACACACAUAUACACACACAUUCACACACACACACACACACACAAAUAUAUAUAUAUAUGUUGUAAAGAUAACACACAUCUUUAGCUCUUUUAUUCCUGGAAGUGGAUCAAUUUGUGUUGGAAACAUGAGGUCACAAAGAAAACACUGAAGGGAACUGAAAAUCAAGAAAAGGUAGGCUGAGGUAAUUAUCAUUAUGCACAAAAAAUAUCAUGGGAUGUGAUAUGAAGCAGUGGUCUGGAGGUGCAGCUCAAUGGGUAGAAAGCUUGUCUAAUGUGCAAGAUUUCUUCCCCAGCCUGCAAAGCAGAACCAAACUAAACAAGCCUUACCUUGCAGGUGCUGAGUUAUCUUAAGGCAUAAUUACUGCAAUUGAUAGGAACAGAGUAGUUAUAUGCUCAGGAUUUCUCACUGGUAUCCCCUGGAUCACACCAAUAAAUACAUAACAAGAAUGUUUUAGUAAAAUAGUAAAUAUGACGCAGUUAUGCUUAGGACACUGAGCAAGCUUGCAAACUUUCUCAAGGAAACAAACAUCUUAGACAUGAUAAACUCUGUCGUAUACAUCCAUCCAAUGGUGAUUUAGUGAAAGUUUUGGCAACACAUGCAUACUUAAUGUUUUACUGCUAUUUUUGGUUCACACUAGGAUGAAAAAACAAUACAGAACAGGGCCUGAGAAUAUAGGCAAGGGUUCUAUCACUGAGUACCACCACAGCGCUGCCAGUUAGUGCUUCUGAGAGGAGUCAGGAAGGGAGAUGGAAAGGGCAGCCUUCUGCUGGGGCCACAGGAGACCUGGUGGAUUCUGUCAGAAUGUUACUUCACCUGUAGAAACCAUAGAAUUCCAACACAUAGUAAAAGCCAUCCAGAGUCACUUUCCGACAUACGCAAUUUACAUUUAUAGACUGGGUCAAGCAAAUUGGACAGUUUAAGUGAGCAUUGAAUGGGCAGAACAUAAAUAUGUUAGGGCCAAUAAAUGGUCAUAUUUAUGGACUGUAGUAAAACCUCUGUCUUUCUCCACUUGGAGAACUCUUGCAGGCUGGAUUGAAUACAGUGGUCAUGAUAUUGUUCGCAGGAAAGGCAAAACUAAACUAGAAAUUCCAAAUUCCUUGUUACAGGUCAGAUACAUUUGAACAUUCAAUACUGAAUGGGAAUGAGUAGAAGGAGGUGUUAAGAACAAAACACAUAAAUAAUAUAAAGCAAAACAAACACAGAGAGCAAACCACUGCCCAUUUAUGCAUUUCAAGGAUACAUGUUCAACUGAAUUUUUGAGAAAAUACUAUCCACCAGGCAAUGGUGGCACACACCUUUAAUCCCAGUGAUUGAGAGGCAGAAGCCAGCCUGGUCUACAAAGCAAGUUCCAGGACAGCACACAUAAACCCUGUCUUGAAAACUCCAUAUGCAGCCUGAUAGGAAGAGAAAAUCAGACUCUAAAAUAAUAAUUUUUAAAGUGAAUAACCAGCACUGAACUUAAGACCUGUUUUCUUCAUCAUGACAGGUCCUGGCUGUAGACCUGGAGGUGAAACAGAAGAUCUGCCCUUGAGUAACUCUAAAAUCCAAAUGUGAGUUGGAUGUGGUGGUGUGCAUCUGUAGUUCAGCUACUCGGGAGGCUGAGAGGGACAGGAAGACUGAGCUCAGGAGUGAGAGGCCAGCCUGGGCGACCUGGUGAGACUCUACCUCAAAUGCAAAUAAAAAGCCAAUGGGAGUGUUAGCUUAGAUUCUGCCUCUCUCAGGAGUGAGAGGCCAGCCUGGGCGACCUGGUGAGACUCUACCUCAAAUGCAAAUAAAAAGCCAAUGGGAGUGUUAGCUUAGAUUCUGCCUCUCUCAUUCACAACAUAACUCUACAAUUGUUGAGCUCCAGUCCGGGAGGCAGAGUGCUAUGACACAGGCUAACAUCACAGUGAUGUCACAUGAACAGCAGCAAGUGUUCUAAGCCAGGAGCUUCUCUGUAAAAGAUUCUCUUAGGCUUCCCACAGUUGUAAGUGAGCACCACCUCUCUGUGAAAACAUGCUUGCCAUUGAUUGUCAUGUCUUCAGAUCGGGGAGACUCUGCCACUCCUAGGAUAAAGAAAAGUGGAAUCCAGAUGGUCCAUGCACACAAAUAUUCACUCCUCCUUCAUCAAUGGUAAUUGUGUUCCAUUGCACAGUCAGCUACAGAUCCCUCCCAAGUGACUUUCACUACUGUUUCUUGCCCCCAGAGACAUGGGUUCCUUCAGAGCUCUGACUUUACCAAAUAGUAAGUAAAAUCAUGCUGGGUCUGACUGACCAAAGCAAAUGAUUUUUUUUUUCUUUCUUACUUACACAUAAUUUCAAACUUAAGCAUAAAAGACUCCUGACUGCCCUUCUUCCAGUUCACCAACGUUUAACAUUCGUGGCAGUCUCUGGCUCCUGUUCACACAGUGACAUAGAAAUGGUUUAACCCUGCCUCUUCUGAUUCGGCACUCUGUCAUUUAGACUCUGCACUCAAGAGCCAGCAUUACUGGUUGCACAUGUUUGACAGGCUGGAACCAAAGCCCGUUCUUCAGUAUCGAUGGUUGAUUUAUGCUUUUUCUCUGUUUUCAACAAAUUAUUAAAUCUAAAUCAUGUGCUGUUAGAACACGGCUUUGGUAGCCCAUUCCAAGUGCUAAAUUGAAGAAUAAAAUUCCAGGUCUUUCAGAGCAGAGAAAAAUAUAUGAAGGUCAUAAAAUUUUCUCCAGAUUUCCCCUAUCGGGCCUCUUGCGCGCCCUCUUCUGGCUGAAAGGCAACACUGGACACAGUUAAGUUGAGCAGAGCAAUUGCUACCUACCAUCAACUGUGUAGUUUUCCAGGGCCGUCCGUUUAAACAAAUAAGGGCUUGAGAUGCAACCACAGAGUAGAGGAGGGGCUGAAGCCGCAGCGUCCUCCUCUGUGAUCUCUUUGUGGGAAUAAUCGCCUCCACCUGACUUUAGGCUGCCAGACCCAGAAACUGAGAAAGAGUAAAAGUUAGGUUCAAGGCAAUAAAAACAAUCAUUUGAUUAUCAUGAUUUUACUUUACAUCCUAAGUAAACUUUCUCCAAAAGGAUCUAGGCUCUUUGAAGGCAAGAACCUAGUCUACUAUACCUCAUAUAGAUAAUAAUCAAUGUAUCAUCUAUAGACUGUGUAUUUUCUUGUUGAGUGAAUUCAGAAUGAUUAAAUAGUUUAUAUGGGAUUUAUGUGAAAUGAACAGACUUUAGCUGUUCUUG
ensembl:lncRNA